rnacentral:rRNA from 1 species
UACAGGGGGGGCAAGCGUUGUUCGGAAUUACUGGGCGUAAAGGGCUCGUAGGCGGCCAACUAAGUCCGACGUGAAAUCCCCAGGCUUAACCUGGGAACUGCGUCGGAUACUGGUUGGCUUGAAUUCGGGAGAGGGAUGCAGAAUUCCAGGUGUAGCGGUGAAAUGCGUAGAUAUCGGAAGGAACACCAGUGGCGAAAGCGGCUCCCUGGUCCAGCACCGACGUUCAGGCACGAAAGCGUGGGGAGCAAACAGG